rnacentral:rRNA from 1 species
UACACAUGCAGUCGGACGGAUCGGGAGAGCUUGCUUUCUGGUUAGUGGCGAACGGGUGAGUAACACGUGAGUACCUGCCCUUCACUCUGGGAUAACUCCGGGAAACCGGGGCUAAUACUGGAUAUGACCUGCUCGCGCAUGCGAAGUGGGUGGAAAGAUUUAU